CAGGAUACAAAUACCACCAUUUAUUCCACAAGACUCCAAAUGUAAGAUUUGAAUAUAAAUAUACAUAGUUGUAUUGUAGUCCUUUUAAUUAUUCUAUAAAGGAUAUAUAGAUAGGACCAAUGCUUAUUGAUGUAAACAAAGUUGAAAAACAUGGAGAUAAAAUAACUCUUCCCAUUAUAAAUAAAUGUGCAAAAAAAGAGUUUAGAGAAUCAUCAUGUUUUCAACUUUGGUAUAGUGCCAAUAAGAAGAGUUUAGAAUCAUCAUGUUUUUCAACUUUGGUAUAGUACCAAUAAGAAGAGUUUAGAAUCAUUAAUGAUUUUUAUUAUUCAUUUUUCGGACUACUUAGUUGACACACCCCGACCAAAAAUCAAGGCGUGCUGGCCGUCAUGUGAGGGUGACA
rnacentral:lncRNA from 1 species